rnacentral:sRNA from 1 species
UCUGUGGCACUCUGUCUCUGUGGUACUCUCUCCAUGGCACUCUCUCCAUUGCACUCCGUCUCCGUAACACUCUGUCUCUGUGGCACUGUCUCUGUAGUACUCUGUCUCUGUGGCACUCUAUCUCUGUUGUACUCUCUCUCCGUGGCACUCUGUCUCUGUGGCACUCAGUCUCCGUGGCACUCCGUCUCCGUGGCACUCCGUCUCUGUGGCACUCUGUCUCUGUGGCACUCUUUCCGUGGCACUCCGUCUCCGUGGCACUCUGUCUCUGAGUGCAGCUCCUUUCCCCUACUUUCUCCACGUGGCUCUCCUCUCUCCACUUUGCCCUUCGAACUUUAGCCAUGUGGAAUAGCAAAUUCAUCUUCAGACUAUUGCAGGUUGCCUGCCUGUGCAUGCAGAAUGUCUGUGCAGACCACCGCAGUUUACCUGUACAGGAAAACACCCCCCCCUCUCUUUCCUUCUCCCUCUCUCUCCCUCUUUGCAUUCCCAGAACCCUCCUUCUUUACCUGGCCCACCAAGCAGCCUUCACUCUAGACCCUGACUCCAAUGUCCGUGUCUUUCUUCCUCUUUCUUCAGCUGGCUCCACUGCCUCUGUGGUGAAAGGGCUCUGCCUGCCUUUGGGAGGCAUUGUGAACUUGGAAUUAAGCCCAGACUCCCUAAUGGGCCACCUGAGAUCAUCUGUGGGCUCAUGGUGGGUGGCUUGGCCUUUGUCUCCUAAACCCCGUUUCUGUGACCGGCUAAGACUCCCUCUUCUCAGCAUUCACGAGUCCCUCCCAUCCCUACGGCUCUGCACAUGCCCACAGCUGUAUCCAGGCUUGGUCCCUUCCCAGAGCACCGUGUAUUCUUACUCUGGGGUCACCAUGGUGAGGACCUCAGGCUGGAACUUAUGCUCUCACAGUCUGAGGGCUGGAGGGCUGGGAGCAGGGUACCAGAGGGCUGGUUCCUUGGGCAGACAGGAAGAGGGCAUCUUGCCUUCUCUCUCCCAGCCUUUGGCAUCUCUUGGCUUCUAUCUCUUCUCAUGUUCUCCCCAUGUGCGUCUGUGUCCAGACUCCCCUAUUGACCAGGAGGCCGGCUGUACUGGAUUGAGGCCCCGGUGUUCUGGUAUGACCCCAUCUUAACUGACUACAUCUUCAACAGCCCUGUUUCCAAAUAAGGCCACAUUCUGAGCACUGCCAGCUAGGACUACAAAACAGAAUUUCUGGAAAUACGAUUUAAUCCACAAAAGUCCUGCUCUUGUGUUGGGGCGAUGUUUAAGAGAAACACAGACUGAAGUGCCGCGGUGCCUGUCACUUUAAGAAGGUGCCGAGAAAGCGCCAGAAUAAACCAGCAUCCCCAAACUUACUGGAUUGGCAUCUCUUGUCCCAUUUACAAGUCACCAGUGAGAUUCCUGGGGACACAUCAGAAGACAGACGUAUUUACAAAGUGACGAACAUUCGUGAACAUCGUAAUGGGUAGAAGUUUGAGCAAGAGGUCAGAGCAGAGAGCAGAGAACUGCUCCUAGAGACAGUUGCCAUGGGGUCAGAUGACCCCAAGUAAGGAGAAGACACACCCCCUUCCCCUCGUGGGUACCCACACUUUAAAACUUCCCAGCUCCAUCUUGCCUUCUAAGCUCUCUCCAUAUCUUUCCUAAAAAUCUGCCCCUGGCACUUCCCACACCCCUUCACCUCCCCCCUCCACGCCCUCCCACGGAGCUGUGCCUCUGUCUUGCCUUCGCUUCCCACCCAAGCCAGACACCUCCAGGGCCCUCUUGUUUCUGUUCCACACAGGUCAGGUCUCAGCAGUGUUCUGCACAUUGCCCCGUGGUACUCAUACCUCCUCAGGCAAAUCCAGUGGCCGCUCCUCUCAGAGCCUCUCUGUAAAGAUCCUGAGGAGGGCAUCCCAUUUCAAGAAAGUAGGGGUUGAAGUAAACACAUACACAUUUAAUUUCCCAUGCUCGGUAAAACCAAGAGAUCAUAGCUCUCUACUCUACAGUGUGCUUUUUAAGCAGCCAUGGGGGGCUUGUUGACCUCCAAAUGCCACCAUCUCAGUGGGGUUUAGCCUGGGAAAGCCACCACAGAGAAGAGCGGCUCUGUGGCAGGCCCACUUCUCACCACUGAGGACAGCGGCUGUGUGGCAGGCCUGAAUCUCGUGUGGUGUUCCCUUGCAGUAAUGGAAGCUUAUAUGGGAGAGUGUAAGACAGCAGUAACUAGCUUUCUGUCUCUCUCCAUACAGCUGAUCCCUAUGUGGUUACCAAUGAUUCAGUCCAAUACCAAGUACUUAUCCGCCGGCCUCCAGCUUCGUCUCCAGGCCAUUCAGAACAACGUGAACCACCACAGCCUAAGGACGCUGCCCGGCUCGGGCCAGAGCAGUGCUGGCCUAGCAGCCCUCCGGAAAUGGCUGCAGUGCACCCAGUUCAAAAUGGCCCAGGUGGAGAUCCAGUCCUCAGAAGCAGCUUCUCAAUUUUAUCCUCUAUGAGUGGACUCCUCGGCUCCAGUGUCGACACGCUGGCUUAGCAAUAAUGGGUAUAAAACAAACAAUUUGAUCCAAGCAGGUUGGGGAACCUUGGUACUGUACACUCUUUCUAGUUUAGUAUACAGACGUGCAAAGGCCGGAGAGGGCCACCAACGAAGCUUUCUUGCUACACAUAUUUCUGAUGACUCCUUGGGCUAUCUGAUUAAGUGUUUCCUUACAUUAUUUUUUAAGAAAAAAAAAAAAAACAACAAAACCAAAAUCAUUUUUCUUUAUCUAACUUCUAUUUUUUUUAAGAAAAAAAAAAUAGACUGGUGGGUACUCACAGAAAAGUUGUAUAAAGCCCCCCUGUUGCUAUUUUUGAUGAUAGAGAAUAAAUAGGGUUUUUGAAA